AGAGCGAACGCUGGCGGCGUGCUUAACACAUGCAAGUCGAACGAGGUCUGUAGCAAUACAGAUACUCGUGGCGAACGGGUGCGUAACACGUGGAUAACCUUCCUUCAGGUGGGGAAUAACCCAGUGAAAAUUGGGCUAAUACCGCAUAACAUGACGAUGCCACAUGGUGUUGUCUUCAAAGGCGCAAGUCGCCAGAAGAGGGAUCCGCGGCCGAUUAGCUAGUUGGCGAGGUAGUGGCUCACCAAGGCAAUGAUCGGUAGCCGGACUGAGAGGUUGGCCGGCCACACUGGAACUGAGACACGGUCCAGACUCCUACGGGAGGCAGCAGUGGGGAAUCUUGCACAAUGGACGAAAGUCUGAUGCAGCAACGCCGCGUGGGGGAUGAAGCUUUUCGGAGUGUAAACCCCUUUCGACCCGGAAGAAAGCCCGCAAGGGUUUGACGGUACGGGUAUAAGAAGCCCCGGCUAACUACGUGCCAGCAGCCGC
rnacentral:rRNA from 1 species